UACGUAGGGUGCGAGCGUUAAUCGGAAUUACUGGGCGUAAAGCGUGCGCAGGCGGUGAUGUAAGACAGGUGUGAAAUCCCGGGGCUCAACCUCGGAACUGCAUUUGUGACUGCAUCGCUGGAGUGCGGCAGAGGGGGAUGGAAUUCCGCGUGUAGCAGUGAAAUGCGUAGAUAUGCGGAGGAACACCGAUGGCGAAGGCAAUCCCCUGGACCUGUACUGACGCUCAUGCACGAAAGCGUGGGGAGCAAACAGG
rnacentral:rRNA from 1 species